UACAGAGGGUGCGAGCGUUAAUCGGAAUUACUGGGCGUAAAGGGUCCGUAGGUUGGAGACUAAGUCAGAUGUGAAAGCCCCGGGCUCAACCUGGGAACUGCAUAUGAUACUGGUCACCUAGAGUACAAUAGAGGACAGGGGAAUUUCUGGUGUAGCGGUGAAAUGCGUAGAUAUCAGAAGGAACAUCGGUGGCGAAGGCGCCUGUCUGGGUUGAUACUGACACUGAGGGACGAAAGCGUGGGUAGCGAACAGG
rnacentral:rRNA from 1 species